CUUUUUCUUUUUUGAUUUUUGUUUUUUUUUUUCUUUCCUCCUUAUUUUUAAAAAUGAUUGAUUCUAGGAAAUAUAUAUCAUUAUCUUCUCCUGUGGCAUAUUUGUUUUCUCGUUGUGUUAGGUUGUUAGUAUAGGACUUUCUAUAUAAUAUAACAUUUUGGUUACAUUAUUAUAGUGGUAUUUUGUCAACAUCAUUGUUAUAAAUAAUUUUAUGCAUUGAUUUGUUUGGGUCUAUUGGGUUGAUACUAAAUAUCUAGCUAAUUGGUAAUCACAUUGUCUCUUGGUCUAAACUACUAGGGCUGACUUGGGCUAAAAGGCACAUUCGAAACCAAAUUCAAGUUUUGGGCAAUUGCCUACAGCCCUUUUAUGAUAAGUAAUAAAAUUGUAUUAAAGCAUAGAAACCUCCUCGUGUAUAUAUAUGGUGUAUACGUAGAUAGCCUAAAGAAUUACAAAGAAUGAUAGUUAUAAUCAUAGUUGUCAGUCUCGUACGAUAUGCAAUAUAUAUGGUUAUAAUCAGGUUUGGAAAGAUACAUCGGGAAUACUUAUGAAAAGUUUUACAUUUCAUUAUUGGUUAAAGUAAACAACACUUCAAUUUUUUCAAAAAUUGUUGAUGAAUAUAAUUUUAUCACCAUGUUUUCUUGCGUGUAUUGCAGUAUGAAAGUUGUGGUAUGUAUAUAAUGAAGAUUAUGGAGCCUAUCUUGCAAUUGAUGGAGCGAACCUUCAAUGCGGUGCAGAUAACAUUCAACGCUCUUUGGCUGAAGUCAAACUUGCUUGGAUAGUGCAUAUUGUUGCUGCCGUUCUCAAGACUUUGCAAAUUUCUGGCCACAAGUUACAUUUUUAUUGCUGAUUACAAUUAUAGCUUUCAGGAGAGAAUUGUGUAUCUCAUCAGGCCCUUUUGCUUCUCUAUUCCAGUGCAAAAUUGCAAGAAGUAUUUGAUGCAGAACUUUAUGCUCGUGUUUGGCAGUUUAUAACUGUGACAGACAGUGGGUGGGUUACACAGUCAGGUCUUGCUGAUGAUGAUAAUUAUUAUGCAUUUUGUUGUCUGCUUGGCCACUUUAAAGUGAAUUGUCAGAAAUGGCAGACAGAAGGCGCUGCAGGAAGACACCACUGAGCCUCAACGAUCGCCAUUACUGUCUUCUCCAAGAUCUCUCCGCUCCUCCAAGCACUCCUUCGAUGAUGAUGGUAUUCCCCCCACUGAUUUUGAUUCUCCUCCACUCCGUACUCCUCUCUUUCUCUCUCCUCUCUUUUUUUUUUUUUUUUUCUAUAAAUAUUUUUGAAUUUUUUUAGGGUAAAUGUUGAUUAGUUUACUGUAUAGAAGUAGGAGAAGCGAAGCCAUCGAUUAUCAUCCAAAACAAUGAUAAUAUUCCUGAUGACACUGCUCGGUAUUUCUUUAUUUUCCCCUUUUUUAUCUAGUACACCAUGUGUAUGUAUAAAUUUCUGUAUGAGAGAAAGUGUUUUUGUUGUUUUAUUAUGUGAUUGAUUUUGAGUGGGUUUGUAGGGGAAAGAGAUGAAGCCAGCGGAGGUUAAGAUUGAUGGUAGGCAGCAUCCAUGUAAAGUUUCGACUCAAGAUAAUGAAAACUAUAUUGUUGGCUUUAUCAACCGUAUUGUCGAUUUAUGUUGUUGGUUAAUGAAAAUCGAUAUUAUGGUCAAUUAACCCAACCAUAUAGGAUAGAAUGGUGACGAAGAAUACAUAUAGUCAAUCUCAAUUAGUCGGUUAAAGUUCUAUAGUUGGUUUAAGAUUCAUUGGUUUUUUGUGUGCUGAAUUUAAUAACUAUCGUGAAUUUUAAUUAGAAAUUAAUUAUAUGUGUUAAUAUAUUUGUUAAGUAAAUUGUUUAAGAUUUAUUGGUUUAAGAUUCAUUUACUGUUAAGAAAAAGUUAACAAGUUUGAUAAAUUUAGAUGAUGAAGAAAAAAAAAAACGCAAGUGGAUGAAGUUACUUUUCAUCUAGUGGAAUGUGCUUAGUUUUUCUGGUUCUAUAACUGGUAAUAUAGUUACUUUUCUCUUUUAGGGGUACUUUUAGAUAAAAUUUUACUUUGUUUUAGCUUCUGUGCUUUUAAAUAUUUCAUUAUAAGAUUGGGAAAAAAAAAUCAGAAAAUAGAUGGUGAGAUUACUUCUGUGUUGGCUAUGCCUAUGGAAUUAUGGAACAUGGAUAUUCUGAGUUAUCCUCCAGAAUCUAGAUGAGACUUUUCUUGUCUCUGUUCUAUUAAGUUUUUGAAGUAAUGAUGUCUGUCAGUUAAUUUUACCAUUCACAAUGUUAAUUGCUGUAUUUUAUUUGUCAAAACCUCAUUAAAGGUUAAUAUUACCAAAAAUAGUAAUAAAUGAAGCAGAAGCAGAAAUUUGGUAAGUUUUUGGGUUUCACCUUUAAUAUUUGUGAGAGUGGAUGACUUUCAACUAACAUUGAUGGUCACCGUUUUCAUAAAUUGUUUCUUUUGACCACAUCUCUUGAUUAUUUCCAAACUUGACCGAACUGCACUUUCUUUGAAGGAAACUAUCAUAUAAACUAUCUGGCAACCGAGGUCCUGACUUGGAGCCAUUUGUGGUUGGAUCCCCAAUCCAACUACUUUGUCGUGUUACAAAGUUUGGGUGGCUUGAUGAUGAUAGAUUCAAAGAGGUGAUGAAAUUUUUAAGCCAGGUGAUGAUUUUUUUUUUCUUUCCUCUGUAUUUUUUAAAAUGAUUGCUUCUAGGAAAUCUAUACCAUUAUCUUCUCCUAUGGCAUAUUUGUUUUCUUGUUGUAUUUGGUUCUUAGUACAGGACUUUUUGUAUAAUAUAUCAUUUUGGUUACAUUAUUAUAGUGGUAUUUUAUCAUCAUCAUCAUUGUCAUAAAUAAUUGUAUGCAUUGAUUUUUUUAGGUCUUUUGGUUUGAUACCGAUUAUCUAGUUAAUUGGUAAUCACAUUGUCACUUGGUCUAAACUACUAGGGCUGACUUGGGCUAAAAGGCAUAUUCAAACCCAAAUUCAAGUUUUGGACAAUUGCCUACAGCCCUUUUAUGAUAAGUAAUAAAAUUGUAUAAAGGCAUAGGAACCUCAUGUUUAUUUAUGGUGUAUAGAAUGGUGAAGAAUAAUACAUGUGGUCAAUCUCGAUUAAUAUACGAUUAAGAUAUGCUUGCAUACAAAUUAUAUGCUUUCAUCAAGCACCAUAUCAUUGUGCCAUUGGUUGAAGAUAUUGUGCCCGUUUGGAUUCGAAUUAUAGCUGCAUCUGCGUUUUCUGAAUUUUUUUUUUUUUUUUUCCAGCCGCACUAUUUGACCAAGUCAACUGUGAACAGUGCAUCUAUGCACUGUUCACGGACCCACAAAUUCCACUUUUCAACAACUUUUUCAUUAAAAAUGGGUCCCACGAUACUAUUCACACAUUUAAAAAUUAUUUUGCUGCAGUGUUUUCAGUUUCAGUUUUUAGUUUUAGCAAAAAUAAGUUCAAUCCAAACGAACCCAUUGAAUCAGCUUGUUUCUUUCUGAAACAUUGAGAAGUUCUUUCUGACAUCUCAUGAUGUCAUUUGUGCUGAGGCAGUAGCGUUAUUAUAUAUAUAUAUAUAUAUAUAUAUUCCUAUGUCUUGGAUUUUGUAGUGAAGGUUAUUUUUCUUGGAUAGAAUGUAAGCUCUUUUUUUCUUGUUUGAUAACGUUUAUAAAUAGUCUGCUUGUGACCUUUUAAUUGAGGAAGCAGGUUGCUUUGAGCAAUGUAAAAUUAUUGAAAGGAGUUGGUUUUAUGUCAGUUCCUGUUUUGGCCGAUUUUUCUUUGACAAUCCAGUCUGCUCCUUAUCUGAUAUUUAUUGGGUAAUUGUCUUUUUGGCUGGUUGGCUGUUCUUAACUGAUUUGGAGUGGAGGAAUUCUUGAAUUUCCAAAGAACUAAUUCUGUUCUAUCUUCUGUUAUGUGAUAAUUUUUUGUCUAGAAUUGGGAAUUUAAUGUCCUCUAUGUCAUUUGUAGCCAGUUUGUAAAAUGAACGUGUUGAGGUGAUAGCUGGGCUGUGCUUUGACAAGUUUGUUCUUAAUAUUAGUGAAAAUAAUAACGAAGAUGAAUUUUGGUUGCUUACAUGCUUAUAGUCUUGAUAUUCUGCUUAUAACACUUGACAGAUGUCAUAUUAUUGUAAUUUUGAUUGAACUCAACUUGACUAAGUCUUAAUCCCAAUUAAAUUAUGGUUGACUGUAUGUAUCUUUUCUUAUUGUUAUAUAGUAUCGAAAGUUAUACUCUUGUUAACUUGUGUUAAAUCAUUCUCUCAUUUGUGCAAGGAUUCUCAUUCAUGCAUUGUGAGUUGUGACUAAGUUUAUGCAAGCUAUCAAUUUAUAGUACCUGCCACUUUUCUUUGGGCUUGGUACCAGUUGUGUAUAAAGAUCAGGACACUAAGCAUCACACCGGCAGAGUUCCAUUUGACUCUGAACGUUUCUUCUUGUUAUCUUUUUGUGUGAACAAGCAGCCCAUGUUUCUAUUUAAUUAGGGGUCACGGGUGUAAGCUUAUCGGGUUUUUAAUAUAAAUUGUUUUAGUUAAAUUUUUCUUCUUUUUUUCAUAAUAGAUAAUGAUUCUUGGUCAAUGUUUUAAUUACAAAUAUGUCAUCUUGGUUCAUCAAUUGUCAACCCAAUUCUGGAUUGCCUUCUAUGCUUGAACAUAAGAUAGCUAUUUCUUUCAAGGAUCAGUCAGUUUUUCAAUUUUUCCAGGUAUCUCUAACUUCACUGCACCAACUUAGAAGUGAUGGUAACACACUGAUUUUUCAAGUUCUUCUGACUACUAUUAUAUAUUUGUCUAUUUCCUCUAAUUUUUUGGUGAGCACAGUCACUGAUGGUUACCCGAACUUGUUAAUGCUGAUGGAUAUACUGAUUUGAUAUGCUUAAUAGCAGACUUUCACGUUAAAAUCUCUUCAUUCCUGGAAGUGGGCUGGCAGUAGUGUUUACCACCAUCUAAGGCUGUGGUCAAGAUUGAUCAUACAUAUACAGUUUUUUGAAGGCUGACACAGCAAACCUGCUGGAUGAAUAUGCGCCCAAGAUUAUAGAAGGUUUCAUUUCUUCAAGAUUUGAUUCUUUGCAGAUGAGAAAGCAGCUAUAAUUUUAGCAGUGCUGCAAUGCUUUAAUUUUCAAAAUCUCCACUCAGAUCCAAGAGACCACCUCUCAUGGCAUUUACAAGGUCUGGGUUGGCAUUUACAAUGUUUGCAUAGCGUUUGUGAUCUCCCUUUUUGGCAAGAGAACAAAUGGGACAUUGAGACAGAUGAAGUUUCAGGGACUAAGACAGUUUCGUUGGAGAGGGGCUACGUUAUUUUUCAUAAUGGGUUUUUGCCAGAAUCAUCUUGCCACUGGGGAGACGAUAUGGAACUCAUAAAUGCUAAGCCACCACGUUCAGUCUUGAUUUCCUCUUAUGUGACUCCUAUGGAUUUGUUGUGCUAGAGAAAUCAUGGUCCACUCCCAACACUUUGUGAUCAUGGUUCAGUGUAUCAAAAGUUUUUUUUCCCCUUAUAUUUAUCAUUAAUAUUUGUUUGCACCGCAUUUGCAUCAAGUCUCAUCAUAGAAUUCAUGUUUGUUUUAGCCAGUUGAUGAACUUUUUUUUCUUUUUUGAUUUUUGUUUUGUUUGGUUUUGUUUUGUUUUGUUUUGUUUUGUUUUUUUUUUUCUUUCCUCCAUAUUUUUUAAAAUGAUUGAUUCUAGAAAAUAUAUACGAUUAUCUUCUCCUGUGGCAUAUUUGUUUUCUUGUUGUGUUAGGUUGUUAGUACAGGGCUUGUUAUAUAAUAUAACAUUUUGGUUACAUUAUUAUAGUGGUGUUUUGUCAUCAUCACCAUCAUCGUCAUAAAUAAUUGUAUGCAUUGAUUUGUUUGGGUCUUUUGGGUUGAUGCUAAUUAUCUUGUUAAUUGGUAAUCACAUUGUCUCUUGGUCUAGAUUACUAGGGCUGAUUUGGGCUAAAAGGCAUAUUUGAACCCAAAUUCCAGUUUUGGACAAUUGCCUACAGCCCUUUUAUGCUAAGUAAUAAAAUUGUAUUAAAGCAUAGAAACCUUCUCAUGUAUAUAUAUGGUGUAUACAUAGAUAGCCUAAAGAAUUACAAAGAAUGAUAGUUAUAAUCGUAGUUGUCCGUAUUGUACGAUAUGUGAUAUGUAUUGUUAUAAUCGGGUUCGGAAAAGAUGCAUUUGGAAUACUUUUGAAAAGUUUUACAUUUCAUUCUUGGUUAAACUAAACAACACUUCAAUUUUCUCAAAAAUUGUUGCUGAAUUCCAUUUUAUCACCGUCUUUCUUGCGUGUAUUGCAGUAUGAAAAUUGUGGCAUGUAUAUAAUGAAGAUUAUGGAGCCUAUCUUGCAAUUGUAUGUGGUACUUUAUUUUUUAUUUUUUUUUUUUUUGAGCAAAGAUACGAUAGAAAUUUUAUUAAUAGAAAUCUGAGAGUGGUACAAGUAUAACUAGAUAAACAACAUCUAGUAGUGUGGGGAACAUCAACGAAAACAACACUGUGAUGUCCCAAAAGAGAGCAAAAAAGUGUGACUGCAUACAGACAGAGGGGUACUAGAGCUUCCUAUACCCGUUGCGCUGCAUUUAGGCGUUGGUAUUCCUCCAGUAAACCCAUUGCACUGUCAAAAAUAGCUUUCAGGAUGGAGCAAACCUUCAAUGCGGUGCAGAUAACUUUCAACUCUCUUUGGCUGAAGUCAAUCUUGCUUUCAGGAGAGAAUUGUGCAUCUCAUCAGGCUCUUUUGCUUCUCUAUUCCAGUGGAGAAUUGCAAGAAGUAUUUGGUGUAGAACUUUCAGCUCGUGUUUGGCAGUUGAUAAAUGUGACAGAGUGGUUGGGUUACACAGUCAGAGUGUGAUGUAUGUUGUGGCUAAGCUGUAGCUUAAAUGGCACUUCCUCCCCUCUUAAGAAAGCGUGGAGGUGAGGAUGCUUUUGUUGAGAGAAUGGAUGUGAUUUCUUCCUUGUUAGUUGUCUUCUUUUUUUAAUUCUUAAUGCCGUAUGCUGUACUACUGGAUUCUUCUCCUGCUGCUAUUAAUGUUAUUGCUGCUGUCAUUUAGCCAAUUUGUUAAUCUCUGGAUUAUUCUCAAACGCCAUUUCUGAGUUUUGAUGUUUGCAACAAAAGUUGACCUUGUUUGUAUUACAUCACACAUUUAUCUUGUUACGAAAUUAUCUAUGACAUGGGCGUGGAUAUCCAUAAGAGUUCCAAUGGAAGCAUCCCCAUCCGAAUAAAUUUUGUGGGGUAUCCUGAGAUUAAAGGAAAUGACUUGGACUAAUGUCUUCACCAUGAGUCUUUUAAUACCCUCCCCAAAGACGUGCAAUAAAGAAUAGAAUUGAAAACCUUGCUUGUUUGCGGCCAGUUCCUGUGGCUUUGGUUAUCUUCUUCACUUCCAUUUUAAUCACUAAUCAUUUAAAUUUUGUUAGAAUGAUCCAUUGUGUAAUGUCACAGUGCAAUAAUAAAUGAUCCACUAUUUCAGAGCUUCUCAUAUAAAUGUAACACCAAUGUACUAAGUCUUUUCAUCUUUUCAUGAGAUUAUCACAAGUUAGAAGCUUCUUGUAAUUUGCUGUCAACACAAAGAAUGCUAUCCUUUUAGAAGCCUUAGCACAUGAAUACUUUUAUAUGGGAAAUGUGUAUCAGUGGCAUAAUAUGAUUGCACAUUGAACCUACCAUUCAUAUUAUUACAACAACAACAAAGCCCCUAUUCCUAAAAUUUUGUA